rnacentral:rRNA from 1 species
GAGUUUGAUCUUGGCUCAGGAUGAACGCUGGCGGCGUGCCUAACACAUGCAAGUCGAGCGGAGUUUUUAAGAAGCUUGCUUUUUAAAAACUUAGCGGCGGACGGGUGAGUAACGCGUGGGUAACCUGCCCUAUACACAGGGAUAACAUUGAGAAAUUGAUGCUAAUACCUGAUAAGCUAACGCCUAGGCAUCUAGGAGUUAGAAAAACUGAGGUGGUAUAGGAGGGGCCCGCGUCUGAUUAGCUAGGUUGGUGGGGUAAAGCCUACCAGGCGACGAUCAGUAGCCGACCUGAGAGGGUGAUCGGCCACAUUGGAACU